rnacentral:tRNA from 5 species
GGAGGGGUGGCCGAGUGGCCGAAGGCGGCGGUUUGCUAAACCGUUAAACGGGGAUAACCCGUUUCGUGGGUUCGAAUCCCAUCCCCUCCGCCA